UCAACACCUGAUCUACCAACCUCACAUCUUCGAACCAUCAUUCUAAUGUUACAAAUUAUUAAAUUUGAAUACAACGGACGUGAAAUCAUGUUCAUUUCCAACACCCACAUCUACCCUUCUGAAACACAAUUUUAUUGUUAAGCAUAAAUGGUGUAUAGAUUUUUCAUAAACACAGACAAUUGUGCAUGUGGAAGAGAGAGAGAGAGGAGAAGAGUGAGA
rnacentral:misc_RNA from 1 species